rnacentral:rRNA from 1 species
GAUGAACGCUGGCGGCGUGCCUAAUACAUGCAAGUCGAGCGAACAGACGAGGAGCUUGCUCCUCUGACGUUAGCGGCGGACGGGUGAGUAACACGUGGAUAACCUACCUAUAAGACUGGGAUAACUUCGGGAAACCGGAGCUAAUACCGGAUAAUAUAUUGAACCGCAUGGUUCAAUAGUGAAAGACGGUUUUGCUGUCACUUAUAGAUGGAUCCGCGCCGCAUUAGCUAGUUGGUAAGGUAACGGCUUACCAAGGCAACGAUGCGUCGCCGACCUGAGAGGGUGAUCGGCCACACUGGAACUGAGACACGGUCCAGACUCCUACGGGAGGCAGCAGUAGGGAAUCUUCCGCAAUGGGCGAAAGCCUGACGGAGCAACGCCGCGUGAGUGGUGAAGGUCUUCGGAUCGUAAAACUCUGUUAUUAGGGAAGAACAAAUGUGUAAGUAACUAUGCACGUCUUGAAGGUACCUAAUCAGAAAGCCACGGCUAACUACGUG